GGGUUGGGAGGGGAACACCCAUAAGGAAGGGGAGGGGGGAGGGGGAUGUUUGCCCGGAUACCGGGAAAGGGAAUAACACUCGAAAUGUAUAUAAGAAAUACUCAAGUUAAUAAAAAAAAAUAUUAAAAAAAAAAAACAAAAAAAACAAACAAAAAAAACCCAAAUCCAGUCAAAUCAGUACUGAGCACAAAGCACCUGUAAGACCAGAUGAGGUCACGGAGGUGGCGUGAUUGAACAUGGCAAGGAUCAAGAUGGAAAAGAAGGUGUGUUCAAAAGGAGAGAGGGACCCAUGCAGCCAAAAGGAGCAGGUGAACAUGGAAUUCAGGAAAUGGGCACAAACCUUAAAAUAACCGUCAGUGUUUAAAAAUUAGAAGAUGCAGUUGAGAAUUUGCCAGAGAGUUUGAAACUGAAAAAAACAAAUGGCGUUGGUAUAGUCAGAAAUGGAAACAAUAAAAAUAAACUCCUGAAAGAACAGUUGGGAAGAUAAGCCAACUUGAGAGGAGAAUUACUUAGCUGGAAGUUCAGUGUUUCACUUCUUUUUUUCUGAAGGGCAGAACAGAGCUGAAGAUCUUUGUUUAUCCAUCCAUCCACCCACCCACCCAUCCAUCCAUCAGAUAAGGGCUUGACAUUCAUGUUGGAGUCCAAAGAAAAAGAGAGAAAAGUAAAACAGAGCAAUAUUUGAAGAGAUAGUGCUUUAAAACUCCCAAAAGAGGAGUAGAAGUAUUUGAUUAUAUAUUUAUGAUGAAUGUGGCCCUGUGUGUGUGUGUGUGUGUGUGUGUGACUGUGUGUAUGUGUAUGACUGUAUGUGUGUGUGACUGUGUAUGUGUGUGACUGUGUAUGACUCUCUGUGUGUGUGUGUGUGUGUUUUAUGGAAAAGGGAAGAAAUAGCUUUUGAGGUCUGUGGGCAGGCAAGCUUUCCAUGUAGAGACUGGAGCAUCCCUACACACUGUAGGGAAAGAGCUGGAGACUUCUGGACUAGGAAUGGUGGGGGCAACUGCUCAUCCCACAUCACAUUCUUUAGCCUUGUCCCCUGCUUGAUGUUUUCAUUGGCUUUAUAAGCAUGCCGCCAAGGUUAAUGUGGCCUUUCAUAGGUAACAUUAGCUGGCAUCUGGUGGCAAGGAUGAUCCCAACGUUCUGCUUAAAUGCCCUGGAAUCUUUACUUAGCUCUAAAUUGUGUAAUUAAUGAGGAAAUUAGACCUACUAGUAAGAAUAUAAUUUCUUAGAAGGGCACUAUUAUUAGAGUCUCAGUGUACUCCUCAAGCUGACCUAUAGAACUCACUAUGUAGUCCAUACUGGCCUCAAGUUUGUGGCAAUUCUUCUGCCUCUGCAUUUCAAGUUCUGAGAUUAUAGGCCCAUGCCUAGGUCCAGGAAGAGUAUUUUUUUUCCAUCUUUAUUAAAUUGGGUAUUUCUUAUUUACAUUUCAAAUGUUAUUCCAUUUCCCGGUUUCCAAGCCAAUAUCCCCCUAACCCCUCCCCCUCCCCUUCUAUGUGGGUGUUCCUCCCCCCAUUACCGCCCUCCCCCCAACAAUCAUGUUCACUGGGGGGUUCAGUCUUGGCAGGACCAAGGGCUUCCCAUUCCACUGGUGCCCUUACUAGGAUAUUCAUUGCUACCUAUAAAUUGGAGCCCAGGGUCAGUCUUUGGGUACUGGCUUAGUCCCUCAACCAACCAGAGCUUCCAGGAAGAACAUUUUACAUUGUACUUGUCACCUUUGCUGAUCUGUUCAGUUGUUAUUAGUGCAUGGAAGCAACAUUUCUCUUUGAUCCUUUCUUUGGUAAUCCUCCUCACCCCUCCCAUCUCACCCACCCCCAGAAGCCUAUUAAAUAUGGAGACAGCUGCAUGGUGCUUACAGAGAUGUCUCAGGUGCAGCGUUUAGCUCUAGAGCCAGUGAACAACCUUGGCAGACAGGCUUCAGGAGAUUUAAGUCACAUUUUCUUCACCGAUUGGAUAUGGAAUUUGGGGCAAGUUAUGGAGCCGCUCAGAGCCUCAGUGCCCUUGCUGGUGAAAUGGGGGACAGGAUAUUAGUACCCACACUACAGUUUUGUUAGGCAUGUUCACACUUCCAUUCCUGCAACAGAAUGCCCGAGGGCGGGGGGCACUUCAAGGAUGUUAGCCCAUGGCUACUUAGCUGUGCUGGUCUAGUCCAUACACAGAACAUCAUGGCAAGCGGCAUGUGUUAGAGCAAAGAUACCACCCUGUGGUGGCUUGGACUAGGAGGUGGGGAAAGAAGGAAGGAAGGAAGGAAGGAAGGAAGGAAGGGAGGAAGGAAGGGAGGAAGGGAGGGAGGAAGGAAGGGAGGGAGGAAGGAAGGAAGGGAGGAGGGAAGAAAGGAAGGAUGGGAGGAAGGGAGGGAGGGAGGGAGGAAGGGAGGGAAGAAAGGAAGGAAGGAAGGAAGGAAGGAAGGAAGGAAGGAAGGAAGGAAGGGUUAGGUAAACAUUCAAAGGCAUGCAUCUAGUGAUCUGUUUUCUUCAUCUAGGCCAAAUAAUCCACUCAGAUGUGAGCUUAUCAAUUGAUUAAUACACUGAUAAAGUGACCUAAUGACCUCUCAGCAGGGGAGCUAUAAGCUGUGGACCAAACUAUGAGGCUUUUCUUCUCCUUCUUCUUCUCCUUCUUCUCCUUCUCCUCCUUCUCCUCCUUCUUCUCCUUCUUCUCCUCCUUCUCCUCCUUCUCCUUCUCCUUCUUCUCCUUCUUCUCCUUCUCCUCCUUCUCCUCCUUCUUCUCCUUCUUCUCCUCCUUCUCCUCCUUCUCCUUCUCCUCCUUCUCCUCCUUCUCCUCCUUCUCCUUCUCCUCCUUCUCCUCCUUCUUCUCCUUCUUCUUCUCCUUCUCCUCCUUCUCCUCCUUCUUCUUCUCCAUCUUCUCCUUCUUCUUCUCCUUCUCCUCCUUCUUCUUCUCCUUCUUCUCCUUCUCCUUCUCCUUCUUCUCCUUCUUCUUCUUCUCCUUCUUCUUCUCCUUCUCCUCCUUCUCCUCCUUCUUCUCCUUCUUCUCCUUCUUCUCCUUCUCCUCCUUCUCCUCCUUCUUCUCCUUCUUCUCCUUCUUCUCCUUCUCCUCCUUCUUCUCCUCCUUCUCCUCCUUCUCCUCCUUCUCCUCCUUCUCCUCCUUCUCCUUCUUCUCCUUCUUCUCCUUCUUCUCCUUCUCCUUCUUCUCCUUCUUCUCCUUCUUCUCCUUCUUCUCCUUCUUCUCCUUCUUCUCCUUCUUCUCCUUCUCCUCCUUCUCCUUCUCCUCCUUCUCCUCCUUCUCCUCCUUCUCCUUCUUCUCCUCCUUCUCCUCCUUCCUCCUUCCUCCUCCUCGUCCUCCUUGUCCUCCUCGUGUGUGUAGUGUGUGUGUGUGUGUGUGUGUGUGUGUGUGUGUGUUGUCCACGGGAGACCAGAUGAAGGCAUCAGGAUUCCUCGAGCUGGAGUUACAGUCAGUUGUGAACUGCCAAAUGUGAGUGCUGGAGACAGAGCUUGGUCCUUCCAAGAGCAGUACUUACUCGAAGCUGCUGUUCUAUUUCUCCAGCCCUUGGCUGGGUAAAUAGGACCCUUUCAUAUCUUAGUUCUACACAAUGCUGGCACUCUAGCCCAAGCUCAGUAGUAAGAGCACUUGCUGCUCUUGCAGAGGAACCCUAUUAUGUUUUCAGCAUCCACAUAUCUACUCCCAAUUAUUUGUAAUUCCAGUCCUAGAGGAUCUGACAAGCUCUCCUGACCUCCGCAGGCAUCAGGCAAAUACGUUGCACAUAUUCAUGCCUGCAGCCAAAACACUCACAUGCACAAAAUAAUAUCCUAAAAUGUUUACAAAAUGAAGUAAGAAAUCAACACACGUUCCUAACAUAGCAUCUCCCACAAAGAGGAUAUUCCAUGAAAGUUUCUUCCUGCUUCUUCUGGUAGAAGAGGAAUUUUACUGUUGCAUGUUAGAUUCUUGUUAGGGAUUUAAUUACUAGUGCUGGACUCCUCCUGCUUGAAAUUCUCUUUUAAUUUGUCUAGGGUCAGGUCCCUAGACUAUUAGCAACAUGCCAGUUCUAGUUUGUCAUCAAGGUUACCGUGGUUUGAGAAGGUAAUUAACUAACGCUUAUUCACCUCUCAGUGGAGUCACCAGCUGUGGACCAAGUCUUCAGUCCAUGAGACUUUUAGAGGGACCUUUUUUUUUCUUUAAAGAAAAAAAAAAUGUGUGUGUAUCUGUGUGGGGAUAUAUACAAGUGCAUGUAAUACCCAUGGAGACCAGAAGAGGGCAUCAGGUCAUCUGACAUCCUGCCCUCCUGAAUCCCUGUGCCUGUCUCUAAGUUGCCAAGGGCGUGUUUACAAAUGUCCUUUUGAUGGAGUCUUUCAAAGUUGACCACACUUAUUCUGGAUGUUGCUAUAAAGUGUGUGUGUGGUGCUGAUGUUUACAUAGCCCUGGCCAGCCAGGUAAGGGGGGGUGUGUGUGAAUCACUCCCUUUUUUAAAAUGUCAUAUCUGAUCAUCUAUAUUUUGCUGUAGGAUUCUCUCUUAUGGAAACUCCAGUGUGGGAGAAAUUGCACAAAUCACACCAAAUGAAUUGUGCGGUAUGCCAAAGCCAAAAUGGAAUAUUCAUUCCUGCACAUCUGAUUUCAUGUGACUUAAAAUGUAUAGCCUUUGGGACCGUCGUUAUCACAUUGGCUGCUGUAUGGCAAAGGAAGCUAAUUUACUAGAGGAAUUGGCUGGGGUGUCUCAUCUAAUAGAAAUAAACACGAAAUCACUUUAGUGUCUCUCCUUUUCAAGGGCCGCUGUUUUUCCAUAAAAUUUACAAGCCCACAGAUUGAUGCAGAAGUCCCUAUAACUCAUGUGGCUGCGACUUUAUCAUUUUAAAUAGUAUUUUCCCCCCGCAAAUUAACAGCACUGAGAAAUGGGAGGCCGUUUUCAAACCACAGCACGCAGAUAGAAUUUCGGAAUAAACUUUUGACAUAGCCCGGUGAAGGGGCCUGGUGAGCAAGCAGACGUUUAUAACAAAAUGCACCAAAGCUAGAGUUAAGAAUAAGCAUUGGGUGUUUGCAUGAAUGUGCAUAGUGGGAUGGUUCACCAGGCUUGUGGGAGAGAGGCCGUAUAUAGGCCGAGAGCAUGCAGCAGCCCUGUGCACACCCACAUGUCAGGCAACAACGGAGUUAGAGGGCAAAGGCCAGCAACUUCCUUUGUGCUUCAGGGAGGAGUGUAUUCUGGGGUUGUGAAGAAAUGAGGACCAGGGAGGUUUCCAGCCUGUCUUCUUUUCUGGUCGUGUUGUAUUUAGAACACCCAUUUCACUCAGAAAUAAAAUGAGCUAGUUCGGAAGUGGGUUGUGUACACUGUCCCCAUGCCCGUGGUUAAGGUUAACAAAAGUUAGGGGAUGAGUUAGUGUAAGAGUUCCAGACCUCUCUCGUCCAUUCCUCAGAAUCUGUUCAGGUUUCAUUUCCAGCUCAGGACUCCAUGGAGAAAAGACAGUGGUCCCUCCAGAGCAAUGGUGUCUGCUUUUCUCCCCUUUGACUCAACCUAUUCCAUAUUGAAAAUGCUUGAGAAACCUCACGUCUAUACUGAACAGCCUCAGUCCUUCCCCUCGUCAAUCCCUAAAUCAUCCCAUAUAAACGUCGUUUGUCCAGCACUGACUGCACUGUACUCAGUAUUCCAAGAAAUCCAGAGUCGAGUUCGGAAGACGGUUUUUGGCACAGCUGGCGAAAGGGCCUGGUGAGUGAUGUUUGCAAUGAAGUGUAGCAGAGGCUAGGGUGAGAGUCUGCAGUUGAGCUGUGUGCAUGUGUGUAUCCAGAGAGCGAGCGGGACUGUGGUGUAUGUCCUUUGCAAAUACCACAUUGAAUUCCACCUCAGUACACUCGCUGUCUCUGUGGAAGAUUCCCCUAUGGACCCAGGACUGUAAUGGAUCUACUAAACAUGCCAGGAUCUGGUUCCACAAGGGGAUCACCUUUUGUUUUUAUUUCUCAUGAGAUCCAGUCUGAUAGGAGCUGGGUGACAAUUUUUGAUGAUCCCAUUUCUGUCCACCCUUGUUACCUCCUUGUCUCCAUCCUUUCGGGAUCCUUGACUGCUUCAUGGGAGCAGUGUCUAAAGUGACUCCCUGACUCCCAGCUCUAAGCUCUGAGCUUUGAUUUAACUCCACCUUCCUUUCUUGUCACUCAGUUCCUAUCUCUCUGCCGACCACCGCCAGUAAUUCCAUCGAUCGAUGCACUCCAUGCCCCAGUUUCCGGAAUGGACCUGACGCUAAGAGAAUCGUCAAGAAGAAUAGAUUUUUUUCUCUGUUUAUUUUUCUAUUUUCUCUUUUGGUUUUCCAGUAAGUGACAGUUGUGUUUGCUAUCAAUGUUCAAAAAAUGCCAUUCCUUUACAUUUGUUCAUCCCAGAUCAAACACAUUAAGGGCCAGCUCCAUCCUUUGUCAACAGUGAGAUGAGUUUGUAAGAGAAUUUCAUCACAAUCGGGGAUUUGCUUCUUCUCUCAUACUUUGAGUACUGGGUUGCAUAUUUUACUGAAUCCUUUCCUGUUUACCAAACAGUAAGGGAAAUCUUCUCUUGAAUGCCGAGGAAGAAGCUGCCCGAUGGAAUCAGGGAAUUGGCACAUGCCUCUGCCCCACAAGCCAGACCACAGGUUGCAAUCAAGGUUUGUGAUUUAAGGAAUUGCAAAGGAGGAAUUAGAAUUAUAAACUUUAUAUCUGGCACCACAUUCUUCACAUAGGCAAGAAUAUCCAUGACCAGGGAAUGUACAUGUAACAGUUAACUCUAAUUUUUAGUGGAGCUUCGUGUAGAAUUUAUUUUUCUCUGGGGAAGUCUUACUUGGAACCUCUUUGAGCAUUUCUUCCUCUGCUUAGUUCCCAGCUUACACAUUUGAUUCUCCUUGCUUGAAGAAGUACAUAAGCUAUGUGAGACUCCAUCUCCCAGCUUCUCUUUCUGCUUUUGUAGAAAGGGAUAAGAACAUGGCUUUUCUGUCCGGAUUGGUAACUUGCACACACAUGCCCAUAUCAACCUUCAUUGUCAACUCGAUGGGCUAUGGAAUCACUUAAGAUGCACACCUCUGGCUUUGUCUGUGUGGCAGUUUCUAGUGAGGCUUGCCUGAAGUGAGAGGCCUUACUGAGAACAUGGAUGUGUAAGACAAGCAUGGGAUACACACCCGUGUAAGGAAGGACUGGAGGGGUGGAGGAACCAUGCUGUGCUAGAGGGUAGGCUCCGAGAUCAAAGGCCCUUGGCACCAAAGUGAAAUUCCUCCACAAAGGCAGGAUCUAGUUCUGGGUGACAGAUGGACACUAACUGCACUGGUCCCAAGGUGUAUGACGUUUAAAUGGUAAUUCAUGCCCAACACUUGGCAUAGUGCAUGGUACUGGUUAAACACUGAAAUGUUUACUACACGGUUUUUAUAAUUUUGUAAGGGACCCACAGGACAUCAGAUUUGCUAUGUGAGGAGAACUGUCAAACACAGUUCGGCUUUUGAAUUUUUAUUUCUUUUUAGUUUGUAUGUAUGCAUAGGUAUAGCAUGUCCAAGUCUAGUCCCCUCAGAGGCCAAAGGAAAGUGCCAGGUCCUCUGGGACUGGAGUUAAAGAUGGCUGUGAACUGAAAUGUGGUUACUGAGAAUGGAACCCGGUCCUUUGGUAAAGCAGUAGAUGCUCUUUACUGCUGAGCCAUUUCUCCAGACCUCCACGUAGUUUGUUUAAUAAUCAAGGAUGGCACAGAGAAUCUGGAAGAAUAGUGAAUCUGAUAGACACAUUACUCAGGGGCUGGGAGCAUCCUGGCUGGAGUAGAGGGAUACAGGGCUAGAGAACUCUAACUUGCAGAGGAAAAAAAAACCAUAUUCAUCACAAACAAACAUAUAUACCAUCCCCCCAAACCAUACAUCCAUCACAACACAUACAUAGAUGCACCCAAUAACAUAUCCAACACACACACACACACACACACACACACACACACACACACACAUACACACACACACACAGGUACAUACACCCUAAAUAAAAAUAAAAAAUAGACAACCCUCAAGAAAUGUCCAAAACUCAAAGAAAGGACAUAGUAACAGUGAAAACACAGCCCCUACAAUACAUAUUUCUUGUUCUAAACCCCAUGCUACUGUGUGUGUGUGUGUGUGUGUGUGUGUGUGUGUGUGUGUGUGUGUGAGAGAGAGAGAGAGAGAGAGAGAGAGAGAGAGAGAGAGAGAGAGAGAGAGAAUUCUGUUGGAGAAAGACUUGAGCAGCCUUAGAUGCACAGCAUCUGUGAUAUCUCUCUUUGAUUUCAGGGAAGCUGGUCUUAAAGAGACAGAAACUACACUUCUGACUUCUCAGAAUGUUUGGAUGGGAUGCUGCCUGGCAACCCACCAAGGGAGGGCUUUAGGUCGUUGGGGCAUUGUGGAACCUUGGCUCCUCCUUUUUUUCUUCCGGGUGGUUUUAUUCUGCCAGUUGCUCCUUGGCAUGAUCCCUUGCCUACCAUAAACCCAACGCCGUGGAACCGGUUGAUCCCGGACUGUUCUCUAGGAAACUGAGGGGAAAUGAAGGGCACAAUGAUGGGAACAUGGGCUGCGUGGAUAAAGCCUGCCUGGGGCUGUUGGGGGGACAUGAUCAGAGUUGGGAAUGGUGGCUACAGGAGGGUGUCUGGGGGUGAUGACCUAAAGGAAUGGUAAAGCCUUGCAGCUGUAUGUGUGGAAGCUCCCCUGGACUCAGCAGAUGAAGGGUGUCCAUUGUGUCUAUUAAAUUCUGGCUAUGGAAGUAAGGUCUUAGCUGUUUUCUUUGAAGAUUCAACCUCUGUCCUAUCACAACAAAUAUUCGUAGCCGAGGAAGAGCCAUGAGAGGCUAAAGUGAACUUCAUCCAGCAAGGAGCAGCGGCCUGAUACACCUUCAAGUUAGUUCUUCCCUUAAUUCAAUCCUGAAAAUGAAGCUAAUUGAUUCAUCGGCUUUUCAGGAGUGUGUGUUCUGUUAACCGAUGCCCCAUGGGCAGUUCCUUUAAUAUGCACCUUUCUUAUUUGAAUGAACUUGUGUACAAACGGUGUUUGGAUGUUUUCUAUAUAUCAUACUCCAUAUUUCAUAUGCAUUACUCAUAUAUAUUUAUAAAUAUGUAAAUUAUAUUCAUGUUUUUAUUAUUGC